UCAACAACGGAUCUCUUGGUUCUGGCAUCGAUGAAGAACGCAGCGAAAUGCGAUAAGUAAUGUGAAUUGCAGAAUUCAGUGAAUCAUCGAAUCUUUGAACGCACAUUGCGCCCCCUGGUAUUCCGGGGGGCAUGCCUGUUCGAGCGUCAUUUCACCAC
rnacentral:rRNA from 1 species